GGAUUUUCUUACAUGAGGUGUUUCUUCCCUUCAUCUUCCACACCCUUCCCAACCUUGACUCAAAGAUCCAACCUUGUCGGGCGCAGCGGCUCACGCCUGUAAUCCCAGCACUUUGGGAGGCCAAGGCGGGUGGAUCACCUGAGGUCAGAAGUUUGAGACCAGCCUGACCGACAUGAUGAAACCCAGUCUCUACCGAAAAUACAAGAAAUUAGCCAGGCAUGGUGGUGGGCGCCUGUAAUCCCAGCUAUGCGGGAGGCAGAGGCAGGAGAAUUACUUGAACCUGGGAGGCAGAGGUUGCAGCAAGCCAAGAUUGUGCCAUUGCACUCCAGCCUGGGCAACAAGAGCGAAACUCCGUCUCAAAAAAAAAAAAAAAAAAAAAAUCCAACCUUGAGUGGAUGAGACUAGUUUCAUUAUUUGAUUCAGGGCCCUAGCACAGGGGAACUAGAGACAGACCCCACAGAAGAACUGAACUAAGAAUGAAACUGGUGUGUGAUGCAAGCUGGGUAGGAUGAAGGGGAAAACCAAACAUCUGUCCAAGUUCCUCUUUCAGCCGUGCUGAGGUUUCCUGUAGCCUCCCCCUCUCCUUCCUCAAACCUCUUCCAUCACUAAGCAAGUCCCCACUUUAGAAAAGCAUCUGGAUGCCCACGCCACCACCCUCCCAGCCACCUCUGAAGUUGCCAGGCUUCCCAACAUUCUUGUCUGUGAUAUUAAAGCCAUGACAGCAAACAGCCCCUUUCUCCUAAGGUUCCUGAUUUGAAGUGGCAAAACAAGGCAGUGGCAUAGUCUCCUGUCCUAUGUCCUUGGCAUGCAGCCUCCACCCAGCUCUGGCUGCAGAGGGCCGCACUCCGCUUGUACCGCAACUCAUGCACAGUCCAGACUUAUACAGCAGCCGGCAACCCUAAGGGCAGGAUGAUUCCGAGACACACCAAAUCUGUAUGUUGAUGUGUUGUCCCAAAUUUAUUUCUCCAGCCUAAAUUUCCCUCUCUGGCACUUGGAGCUCAGUGUCAACUUGACAUCUUUACCUGGGUAUCUAACAUGCAUCUUAAAUGUACUAUAAAUGUAAUAAAUGACUAAAUAAUGA